CUCCAUCCCUCCUCCUCCUCCUCCUCCUCCCUCCUCCCAGCCUCCCGUUCCCACCGAGCGGGGCCCCCCCGCUGCCCGCGGGGCCGGGGCUGCCCCCGCCGGGGCGGAUGGAGCGCGGAUUUUUAGAUGUGCCCUGACGCCGCAGGGUCUCCUGCCUGCUGGAAAUGCAGCUCUCGUCCAGCUGUGACCAGACCAUGGACCCCUCCUCCGAGGACUUCCAGCAGGUGCUCUCCAUCGACCAGAUCCGCUCCAUCCGCGCCAGCAACAACUACGUGGAGCGCCCGGCGGCGUGCGGCCAGCAAAGCCGCUCCAACCCCUCCGCGGGGCACAAACACGAGUGCUCCCAGGCCUCUUCCACCUUCCAGGACCCGCAGCUGAGCCACUCGAGCACGGCCAGCUCGGUGUCGCAGGGCACGGCGGCGUCGGAGCAGCGGCUGCUGUCGCCGUCGCACUCGGGGCAGUCCCUGGCGAGGACACCGUCGCACUCGGGGCAGUCCCCGGUGAGGACGCAGCCGCGGUUGGGUGACCCCAAGGCCGAGGUGUCCCCGCGGAAGGGACACGCGCUGCGCUGCGAGGCGUGCGGGCGCUGCCGCUGCCCGCGCUGCACGGCCGCCCGCAGCCUGCCCUCCUGCUGGCUCUGCAACCAGCGCUGCCUCUGCUCCGCCGAGAGCCUCCUCGACUACGGCACCUGCCUCUGCUGCGUCAAGGGGCUCUUCUACCACUGCUCCACCGACGACGAGGACACCUGCGCCGACGAGCCCUGCUCCUGCGGGCCGGGCUCCUGCUGCGCCCGCUGGGCUGCCAUGAGCGCCCUGUCCCUGCUCCUGCCCUGCCUCUGCUGCUACUUCCCCACGCUGGGCUGCCUCAAACUUUGCCAGAGGGGUUAUGACGGCCUGAAACGCCCCGGCUGCCGCUGCCAGAGCCACACCAACACUGUCUGCAGGAAGAUCUCCUCGGCCGGCGGCACGCCCUUCCCCAAAACGCUGGACAAGCCGGUAUGACCCUCCCGAGGAGGAGAAAAAGCGGGCUUUGCUCCUCUUCCUCCCCAUCCUCCUCUUCUCUCCUCCGUCCUCCUCCUCCUCCCUCGGCUCCCUCCGCUCUGCAGUGUCCCCCCCGUCCCCAGCAUCACCUUUGGGACACCGAGCUGGGGGUACCCGUGGUUGGUUUUGCACAUGAGGGAGAGGCAGAGCGAGCUGCGGGUGCCCUCGCUGGCUGUGUCCCACCGGGAAAGGCGGCCCAGAGGGUCCCUGGGGCUCUGCCCCCAUGGCAGGGCUGCCUGAGGGCCCUCAGGACUCUGCCCUCCGUAUUUUAGGAGCUGCCCCACAGUGGGAGAGGAGAGAGCUCAGUGCACCCCGGUGCCAGACCUCCUCCUCCCGCUCCUUCUCCUCCUCCAGCACUUUCCACGGGUGGCCUUUCACCCCUCGGCUGGCCACAGGCCCCUUUCCCCAGGGGUGCCAGGGGGUCUCGCCAGUGGCAGCAGCUUCCCUCCGGGCUUGGGAGCUGUGAGCGAGCUCCAAAAUGAGGUGGCACCGUGUUUUUCUGUCUCAAAGAGGAAGAGAAGGUGUGGGAAGCUUUAGAAACCUUCUGGCAGGGGAAGGAGCUAUGGGAGGCAGCCCAGCCCACUCGCUCCUGCCCGGCUGCAGCGAGGGAAAGGUCCCCUCUGGGCUGUGGCUGACAACAAGGAGCUGCUUGGAAAUUGCCAUUCAUUCCUCCCAGCCUCGGAGGGCUGCCUGAGCUGGGAGCUGCUGCCGGGCUCCAUCCCACCCCCCAGCAGAUGCUCGAACCCCGAUCUGGUACCUUCCACCAGCACUGAAUUCACUUUAAAAAAAAUUAUGACAAAGCCAAGUGUGAGCAGCCAGUGCUCCAGGGGCUCCCCACGGGGGGAUUCUGAGCAGGAGGACACGGAGAGCAGGAGGGGCUGUGAAUCCUGGUGACCCCAACCUUCCCCCCCUGCCAAAUUUCCUUUGAGUCCUCACCUCACUGAGGGUUUUCUGCCGCCCACAGACAGCCAGGAGCAGGCUGGAGCCAGCUACUGGCACCAUUUUGGGGGAGUUUGGAGCAGGGGUGGUGUCCUGCCUGCCUGUCCCCCUUCCCAGGGGUGUGAGAGGAAUAUAUGCAACACAUCCCUCGGCUUCUCCAAGACCCAGCUCCCUUCCCGUAGAGCCCUGUGGAUCUAUUUUUGUAGAUAUAAAUAUAACGUUAGGAUGGGUAGCUCUAUUACUAAUAAUAUUCAUGAUACUGCUGUGAACGGUGCCAGGUACAAGGUUUGGCUCCCUGGUGCACUUGCACACGCUGGGAAAGACGAUUUUGUGGCUAAUCCCAGUCCCUUGGUUCUCAGGUUGUUGGGAGAGGGGGAAAUGGGAUUUUCUGCCCUGCAGGGAGGGUGGGGCUCAGUGCCGAGAGGUGAGGCAGAAGUGGGAUCACUGUGGGACUCCUCCCCCCACCCAUCCACCCUCUUUCUGAAAUUCCUGGUGGAUCCAGGCUCCCUCUGUUGCAGGGAGUGAUUCAUCCUGCCUGGGAGUGUUAUGGAUGAAAUCCUGUGCUGGCUGUGCCCCCCUGGCCCAAAUGGCACCCAAACACCGAGGUUCUGUGGGGAAGGGGGAUGGAUCCCAUCCCUGCUGGGGGGUUUGUGCUGGAGAAUGCUAAGGACAUGAGUGAAACCCUGAUUUCACCCUGGGUGUCUCAGGAUGAUGUUCUGGGGUGCAGAGGGAUCUCCUGGCAUGAGGAAAGGACAGAGCCCCAUCUGAGGCCAGCCUGGACUCUGGGACCGUUUGGAUUUUAAAGCCAUGCCCUUCUCAGAGGAUGCCCUGUAGGUGUGUGACCCCCUCUAAGAUCAUCCCCGUGGCAGCCAGUAUAAAAUCCAUUUAUCCUGGUGCCAGUAAUUGCUUGGCUCCCUGCUUCCAAGGGAUGUCGUGGGGAGACACUUCCUGCAGGAGUCUCUUCCUUUGGGAGGCUCAGUUCACUCUUCUAUUGGUGCUGAUUAAACUCCUUCCUCAUGAAACCAGAGAGCGUUUUUAGGGAGAAAAGGUCCCUUUUCCCCUGUGGGUUGGAGGAGCUGUCUCCCUUGAAUGAGAAUGUGAAACAGUUCAUUGAAACUUUUUAAAGAAAACUAAUGAACAGAAUUUUCCAACUUGCUCUACUUUGAUUUUUUUUUUUUUUUCUCCUCCUCCUUUUCAAACGGAUCCCACUUGUAAAUUUAGUUACCACCUCUGUAUCUCUGCAAUUCAUUGCUUCCUCUCCUGAUGGUGGAAUGACUCAACAUGUGAAGCUUCAUCAUUUUCACGGCCUCCCGAGUCAUGCGAGCGCGGGGUGACCUCCCCCAGGCUGGGGCUGGGGAGGGAUCAGCCCCAAAACCAGCCUGGGGG